rnacentral:lncRNA from 1 species
UCCUGUGAUUCCGUACUUUUUCGUUUUAGUACCUUGUGGUUUAAAGUGCAUUAAGUAGUACCCGGUGGUUCCGCACUUUCUUACUUUAAUAUCAUGUGGUUUAAAAUGUAUUAAGUUAGUACUCUGUGGUUUUAUUUUUGUACCAAGUUAGUACCUUUAGUUUUAUUUUUGUAUCAAGUUAAUACCCUGUGAUUUUUAAACCACAUGGUACUAAAGUAAGAAAAUGCGAAAUCACAAGAUACUAAAGUGAGAAGUGUGAAACCACAAGGUACUAAUUUGAUAUACUUUAAACCACAUGGUACUAAAGUGAAAAAGUGCAAAACCACAGGUACUAACCUGAUACACUUUAAACCAUAGGAUACUAAAGUGAGAAUAAGUGAAACCACACGGAGAGUAUUUGAAAUUUUUUCUUAAAAAAUUGAGAUUAUUGAUCCUUGGUUAGUUUACUAUUUGAAAGAAAUUAACAUAAAUUAUC